AACGCGAAGAACCUUACCUGGGCUUGAAGUGCACCGGACCAUCUUUGGAAACAGAGACUUCCCGCAAGGGACUGGUGUAGAGGUGCUGCAUGGCUGUCGUCAGCUCGUGCCGUGAGGUGUUGGGUUAAGUCCCGCAACGAGCGCAACCCUUACUCGUAGUUGCCACCCGCAAGGGGGAACUCUACGAGGACUGCUCCGGAUAACGGAGAGGAAGGUGGGGAUGAGGUCAAGUCAGCAUGGCCUUUAUGUCCAGGGCCACACACGUGUUACAAUGCGUGCUACAAAGCGUCGCAAACCCGCGAGGGGGAGCUAAUCGCAAAAAAGCACGCUCAGUUCGGAUUGCAGUCUGCAACUCGACUGCAUGAAGCUGGAAUCGCUAGUAAUGGCGCAUCAGAACGGCGCCGUGAAUACGUUCCCGGGCCUUGUA
rnacentral:rRNA from 1 species